rnacentral:lncRNA from 1 species
UCCGCAAGGUGGAAAUCAAUAUACCUCUACUUGAUGCUAUCAAACAAAUACCAAGGUAUGCUAAAUUUCUCAAAGAGCUAUGCACCAAUAGGAGGAAACUUGCUGAACAUGAAAAGGUAAGUGUGGGGGAGUGUGUUUCAGCUGUCAUUCAAAAGAAGCUUCCAACCAAAUAUAAGGAUAGAGGAAUGUUUGCCAUUUCAUGCAAAAUAGGCAACAUAGGGAUAAAGAAGGCCAUGUGCGACCUUGGGGCAUCAAUCAAUGUUAUGCCACUUUCUAUUUUUAACUUGUUGAAUACAGGUACACUCAAGGGCACCAGCAUUGUGAUCCAAUUGGCUGACUGAUCCAAUUGGCUGACCGAUCCGUUGUCUACCCCAAGGGAGUGCUAGAAGAUGUGUUGGUACAAGUUGACCAACUAGUCUUCCCAGCAGAUUUUUAUGUGAUUGACAUGGAGGAGGAUAAGGGCAACAUCACCUCUGACAUCUUACUUGGGAGACCAUUCUUGAGCACAGCAAGAACAAAAAUUGAUGUGCAUGAUGGCACAUUAACCAUGGAGUUUGAAGGGGAAGUUAUCAAGUUUAAUGUUUAUGAUGCCAUGAAAUUCCCCAAUGAUGUUUCUCCUGUUUAUGGACUUGAUAUAAUUGAUGAUUCAAGUCAAGAAAUUUUUAAUUUUGAUCAAGAAAAUUUACUUUAUGAUGGUCUUUGCAGGAAAGGAGAAGUGGACAGCAACAUCACUGAAGCAGAAAAAACAGCAGACUGCUGUAACUUGCUGGGUGUGGGUGAUUUGCCCAGUGAUUUGCCCAGAUCACCAGAUAAUCUGCUCAAAUCACAGACCAAAUCACUGGAGCAGACAGACUUGACAGACAGUGAUUUGCCCAGAUCACCAGAUAAUCUGCCCAAAUCACAGCCCAAAUCAGACAGCAAACAGCAGAAAUCAG